GUUUCUAAUUUAAUUAAACUAGAUAUAGAAAAGUAAUGAGAGGUCAUAUCAAUUUUAUUACUUUCGAGAUUAUUUUUACGCAGAAGUAUCAUUCCCUUCGACUCGACUUUGCUUAAACGAGAUAUUUCGAAAGAAAGAUCGCGUAUUUUUGUUGUUAAAUAAAAGUAUAAAUAAAUUCCAAAUUUCUUAAAUCUUUGAUCUCGACGAAUUAUGAUUCCUACCACUUGCUGAUCUUGCAUGUUUAAUUGCACGAGCGUCGAACAACAGCCAUAAUUGACGUCUUAGGGGGAAAGGACGCAUCAUCUUUGUCACCUCAUUAAAGUUAUACUCCGAUAUCAGGAGGGCAGCCCGCGUUAAACCCGCUACCAUCCUCGAUGAAAUCAGGUUAGAACGUGGAAUACUCAAAGAGACCGGAGGGAACCGCUUUUAAGUUGACUAGCUAGCUUCCCAAGUUGGAAACGAGGUAAACAUCGAUGCAUACAGAGUUCUUGAACGAGAGUAGUCUUGACCAUAUUGAAGAUAAUCAUUUUCGAUGCAGAUUACGUUAAUUAAUACGCGCUCUGCGUCUUGAGCCAAGUUUCAAGUAGCCAGUUUAUUUCGUUCUUCGACAACAGCAAGUUUGUUGAACAUUUCUCGUUAUUUAUACUUUAUUUCUUUAUUACUUUCUUUCCUUAAAUAUUAAUCCUUUAUUUUCUUAUUGUUUAGAUUCAUAGUAUCGUUUUAAUUGCGACGAAUUCUCUCUAUGAAAGAGAAGUUCUGGCGUUGAAAUCGAUUGGGAAGAAAGGAGGGGAUGUUCGAGAAGAAGUUUCGCGAAUUUUAUGAGUUAUUUCUCCUCUUGGAAAUAUUCGUGGAUGAUUAUAACUAGGCUAUUCUGUUAUUCGAAGAGUACAUAUAGUAUGAACGAAGUUUCGAUUUUUCUAUUCGACGAAACUGUAUAUUUUGUAAGGAGGAGGUUACAUUUGUUCUAUAUAUAUAUAUAUAUAUAGUCGGAAAGGAAGCCAAUAUCUGAACUCUGAAAUUCAAUAAGAACCAAUGCGGAGGUACUAAGAUUGGAUGAUACGGAUGAUAAAGGAACGUAGAAAUCGUUUAUGCGAUUUUUCUGUUUGCGAGUAUUGCUAAUGCAGGGAAGGGUGAUUUUUGGAUUCGUCGAAACGCUUCUCUCCUCUUCGUUGGGGAGUGAAAUGGACUUUGGAAAUGUACACUUUUGUUAUUUGAAUAAUUUGCAUGAAUAGAAAUGGCAUAUCUUCCCAUGUGACCGAAAAUAUUAACAGUCAAAUUAAUUAACAGUAUAUCCAUACCAAAAUAAUUAUAAUAAAUUACAAAAUCGAUAAUAAAUAUUCGCUGUGUUGUUCGAAUUCCAAGUUAUUAUUCCGAAAACCCGGAUAAAAUUCAACGUGCACCGUAAGAUAAUCGUAGAAACAACCGAAUCAAAGGUUUGAAUGGGAUCUCGGUUAUCCAACGUUUCACCAUCUCCAUUUCCUUUCCUUACGAACAUCCCUAUCGUCGUCAAUCUCGCAAUAGUAUACCAAGAUUUAUAAAGAGGCCAUUGUCGAGAGGAAAUUCGUUUAUAGAAGGGAUAGAGGAGGAAUCCAAUCCUCCCCCAAUCCUGAAAACUUAAUAACGACAAAACAUAAUUUUUCCACGAAUGUUCCAGAGAAGAGAGAGAGAUAAACGUGCGUUUUCUUAAUCGGAUGUUCGAGGAUAAUGGCUCGAUUACGAAGGGACAGAGUUGCUUUCGACUCUGUUCGAUGGACUGGAACUGUCACCUUAGAAAUUGCGGCCUUCUCUGCGGGACGAGUGUCGAGCAAAGUGCUUCACUACUUUUCUCAUUAUUUAUGUAAAACUCUGCGGAACCGGAGGAGGACAAUGUUUUUCUUGAUAGGUUGAUUGAGAAAGAUUGCGAACUCAGCACACCACAGACAUCGAUAUUCCAGAUACAUCUGAUUGGCGGUAAGACAUCGCGGCAAGUUAAAUGGAAACAAAAUAAAUGCAGAGACGAAGGAUUCCACGAUAAUAGGAUUUUUCACCGGUUUAUUCCCGCCUUCUCCCGGCUCGUUGUAAUUGAUAAAUGGAGAUCUAAAAAGAAGGAGGAAAAGAGAGAGAAAGAAAGACGGGAGGAUGAAAAGAACGCGCGGGGGUGGGUUGGAAAAGGGAGGGAACUGCAGUUUCACCGCAUACCGGAAGACGAAGGCGCGGCCGUUCUUGAAGCGUUUCAUGGGAAACCAAAUAUUCGCGGUAUUCUCCACCGUUCGAGGCCGGAAUUUCCAGCAUGAAGUCGUUAUACUGCGAGACCACUUAUAAUUAAUUGCUUUAGUUUAUAAUCGCCUUGCGGCCAUUGUGACGCAGUCGUCCGAAUAACGAGGAUACCCGUAUAUACUCGCGUCGAGUGCCUCGGCUAAUCCUAUCCUUUUUUUUUUUCUUUUUAUCCGUGUUUUAUAUUGCAGCGUCGCUGUAUGGAAAGGAAUAAUAGGCUGAUACUGUGAGAUAUCAUCCCUGAGGCGAAAGAGAAGGAGUCGAAUUUUAAAAAAAUUAAAAUUUCUAGAAUAUUUGGUUUUUUCGACAACAAUUGACGUUUCAAUUUUGCAAAUGGUAUGCGAACAGAGGGAUGAAAAGUAUUGGAAAGCAAAGAUGUUUGAUUUUGUGAAUAAAAUUAACGAAAUUGUCAAAGUGACAGAGGUUGAUUAUUGAUAUGAUCUCGAAUAAUGAAAUCUUAUUACGCGAGAUAUAGUAGAUUGACGGGAGAACACUGUUGAAUAAUGGAUUUACAACUAUACGCAGAUGUAAAUAUUAAUAAUGUAUUUUAAUUCUCGUACAGUGGUAGCAUAUUCGAGCGUCACGUCACGCUCAGCAGCUGGAAGAAUAAUAUUGUUUCAAAAAUAGAGUUACAAUGAGCCUGAUUGACCAUGACGUAAAAAUAUUUUCCCGAUAUUUUUGAUGGUAAUUGAUCUCGUUGAGGAUUGACAACCCCUUCGCAAAAACUUUUGUUCGACGGAUCACAUCGCAUUGAUAUUUAAAAAAAAAAAAAAAAGAUUCGAAAUAUAAAUAAUAUUAUUUGAUCAAUGUUUAUUUUUUUAAAAUUCAUUAAAAUUAUGAAAUUUGCGAAAUUCUCGCGUGUGAGAGAAUUUAUCAGAGAGAUAUAUAUUCGAGUUUUUUUCUGUAUAUAUGUAGGAGGGGAAGAAAAUUAUCCUGCUUAAUAGAGUAAGAAUCUUAAACUUGGAAUAUCUCAAACUUUACGUCGUCUUAAAGAUGUGCAAGAUCUUCGACGCUCUGAGGAAUUUUAAGACUUUAAAAGCUUCCUAGAUAUCCAAGUUGUUAAAUUCACUAUCGUUCCUUUUACGAGGAAUAAUUCAAUUUUCGUACAUUCAUAAUUUAUUGAAAACAACAAAAUGAAAAGGAACACGAAACUACGUUAAGAAGAUUACGUUUACUACGUAAUCUUUAAAGCUGAAUGUCAAUUGUAUAACAAAAUAACGGGAAAGAGCGUUCUGGUAAAUAAAAAAAUAGAUGAAAAAAGGGAAAAAAAGGGACUUUGACAGAUUUUUCAGAAUACAUAAUUCUUCGAAAUAACGAACGUGCAAUUUUACGACAAAAUAAUACAUUUUGAUAGAUUAAAUUUUAAAUUAAAUUUUUACAAGAUGAGCAAUAACUAUUCUAUCGCACGAAAUCCCACCGAUGUGACAAAUUAUUAUUAUUAUUAUUCAUAAAUUCGCAUCUUCAAAAAAGAAAUGGCGACGGAUAUUAAAACAUUUUCUACGAUUAAUCAUAAUCACUAUGCAUAUUCUCUUGCGUCAAUCAAAUUCAUAUUAUCCAUCCGUAAAGCUCUUUAUUCGAAAACCUAUUUUACUUUAAAAAUACCAUUUGUACGUAUCAACGUCUUCCAAGCACAAUAAGAGAAUAAAAUAAAGUGAUUUCCAGAUAUAACAAAUUCCUAUACAAUUUGCCUAUUAUUACAUCGUCCUAAAAAGGGCAACGAUCGUAUCGCGUGUCCCUCUUCCCCCAUUCAACUUACUUGUAUUAUAUACGUGACCGUGGUUAAUGAAGCGAUGAUAAAUAAAUAUAUUUCGUUUUAUCGCAAUGACAAUUGAACGUGGACGUGACAAAACGCAAUAAUUCGCAGACUUCAUUAAUGCUCGCAUCGGCGCGGCCGAUCGUAUAUUUUUGGUUUUCAUACCAAUUACGGGGAGGGUGUAGUGCAUUUAAUGCUAAUUUCGCAUAUUUCCCACGACAAUUUAAUCAGAAAUUCGCCGGACGUUGGUGUUCGCGCUCCCCGCGAUAAUUGAGAUUUAUCGACGACACUUUUAAUCAAACGCCAAACAUUGAG